CAGAAUGGUAAUGCUUAUGGUACAGAAAAAGCUAAUGGAGAGAUUGACUCCUACAGAUCAUGUUCCCGAGCCAUUACCAAAGCCUCAUCUUCUGCCCUUAUGGAGACCCCACCAUGAUGGAGUUCAUAAGCUAAACCACAAGAUUCAUAUCAAUGAUAUAGUUCUCUAGAAAAAAAAAUCAGAAAAGAAAAGAGAUCCUUUUUUUCCCACAUCCAUUAAUAGUGAGAAGAAAAGAAGACAAAUAUGUUACAAGCUCUAACGGGACUCCAAUUUCAACAGAAAGAACAAUUUGGAGAAAAGGAGAGGAGACUUCAACUCAGCCAGGAAUCCAGGGCCCAGCGUACACAGUUCCACAUGCAAUUUUCAUGCAAACCAAUGUUUCAGAGACUCUUCUCAGUAAGACCAGAAAUUUCUUCAAGUCAAUUACCAUCUUUUUCUAAGGUCUCAGCACACCUGGAAAGUCCUGCGAAGUCCCAGCUACAGAAAGUGCAGAGACAAGUAAAACCCUUCAUGACCCUUGACUACCAAAUCGUCAACCAGACUCUUAAACGGUCACAGCCUCCAACGCCAAGCAGUGCGCUUCUGCUACAGCAUGGGCACCCUUCUCCCGAGAGUGACACUGGCCUUACCGGAAAUCCACUCACCAAGUUACUAACUCUUGGGAAAGAAGAUGACAAUGUGGAAUGGCAUAUGGAAGACGUUAUUGAGGAUAUAAUCGGUAUGGAAUCAAGUUUUAAAGAGGAAGGAACAGACUCUCCUCUGCUAAUGCAAAGAACAUUAUCUGGAAGCAUUUUGGAUGUGUAUAGUGGUGAUCAGGGAAUUUCUCCAGUUAAUAUGGGCCUUACAAGUGCUUCCUGUCCAAGUAGUCUGCCAAUGAAAAGAGAAAUUACAGAAACAGAUACACGAGCUUUGGCAAAAGAGAGACAAAAAAAGGACAACCACAAUCUCAUUGAAAGAAGAAGAAGGUAUAACAUUAAUUACCGAAUCAAGGAGCUUGGCACUCUUAUUCCAAAGUCUAAUGAUCCUGAUACGCGCUGGAACAAAGGAACCAUUCUGAAAGCAUCAGUGGAGUACAUCAAGUGGCUACAAAAAGAACAACAGAGAGCUCGAGAAUUAGAACACAGACAGAAGAAAUUAGAGCAGGCUAACAGGCGGCUUCUACUCCGAAUUCAGGAACUAGAAAUACAGGCUCGUGCUCAUGGUCUGCCAGCCCUGGCUUCACUUGGCACAGUUGAUUUAGGUGCUCAUGUCACCAAACAACAGACCCAUCUUGAGCAGAAUUCAGUAGACUAUUGCCAACAACUGACUCUGUCUCAGGGGACCAGCCCUGAGCUCUGUGAUCAAGCUAUGGCCUUCUCUGAUCCUUUGUCACACUUCACAGAUUUAUCAUUUAGUGCCUCUUUGAAAGAGGAACAAAGAUUGAAUGACAUGCUACUGGAUGACACAGUAUCUCCAUUUGGAACAGAUCCUCUGCUGUCUGCCACUUCCCCUGCAGUUUCCAAAGAAAGCAGUAGGAGAAGUAGUCUUAGCUCAGAUGAUGGCGAUGAGUUAUAAAAAACAGACAGGCUCGAUUCAUCAACUGGGAAGCAAUUCUAUGCAGGUGCUAUGCAAUUACGUUCUGUUUCAUAUAUUGCUUUGGCUUAAUUUUUCCAAAAGGAAUAUACCGUUAAAGAGAAACAGAUUAUAAAUGACAGAAGAAUUCACAGGAAGAAGAAACAUGGUGUUGAAGAUUAUUGAGAACAAAAAAGGAAUUUUUCCUCUUUGACUAAGAUGUCCAAAUCUGCUUAAAUUUUGUUUUCCUGGAAAGAGGUACAACAUAAGAAAUAGCUCUCUACUGAUGUUUUAAAAGUAGCAAUGGAGUGAUGUACCAUUGGAACUAACACACUGCAGGGAGUAAACCUACUGAAAUAUACAAACCUUUUCUUAUUCACUUCUAACUCCUUCCUAGUCCAGUCUUACCUUAGUUUUCAAGUAUCAAGCUCAACAGACUUGGUAGUUCAUUGCCUUUCUCCACUAAUGGGAUGUGUUGGUUAAAGUUCAAAUUUGAUAGAGGAAAUAGUUAAAAGACACUGUUAUCUGUCACUUCUAAUUGAAAAGUGAAUCUAUAAUGAACAUUAGAAUUUUCCGCAAUAAAAUACCAAAAAUAUAUAAAAACUUUGCUUUCUAAAAUUAGGCCCUAAUUCCUUUAGUCAGUUCAAUUAUAGUAAUUCUAAGAAUAUCUUCGCAUAUUUAUGGAGACAUUCUAUGUUCAAAGAAGGAACACACUGAAUACUUUCCUUAAGAAUCUGCACUGAAAAUUUACCACUUCACACAAACAUACACUCACACACAGGCACACAAUGUAGGUAGUAUAUUUCCUUUUUGUUUUCCUUCAAUUUUGUGAUUUUCUAAUCAGCAUCAGAAACCACAGUCCAAAUCCUCUCUUUUUCAACAAAAAGAGAUGUUGGAUAAUCAAUUUCAGUAAGUAAAACACACACACACACACACACACACACACACACACACCCCUACUAGGAGAAUUCCUCAGCUAUCUAAAAUUUAUCGCUGUCUCUAAAAAUGCAUGUAAAUUAAUUAGGUGAUACUGUUUUGCUCCAAAUUGACAACAUGGAAAAUUAGUUUUCCAACUGACAAAAUCAUUUGUAAAACAGACUCUUCGUUAUUACGUUGAGCUCUGACUGGAGGACAAAUCUCCACUCCCAUAAGUACUUGGAGCACCCUCUGACUUUGCCAGCUAUGUUAGUAUUUGUUAUAAAUUGUGUGACUAUAAUGCUUUAUUCAAAAUUUUCUCUUUUGAGCUUGGGAUUGGGGUUGACCUACCAAGGCUGUUGCUUAGUGCUGGACUUCUAUGAUUGCUCAUCUGAUCAAUGAGUAUUUUAUGGAGAGAUACUCAAACUGCAAUGCAUCCUGUGAAAAUGUAGAACACAUGAGCAAGAUAUGGUCUUACUCCUCAGAGAGUUACAAGACUGCAUGAGAAACAACAGCAGAAGAUAGAAGACACACGAAUUAAACUCUACAUGGUACAGUAUAAGCUGUAAAUAUAGAAAGUCAGAGAAAAUGAAAACGAAUAAAGUUUGGAGAAUCACAAACCUCUAUGGGAAGGUAGAAUGUAACUUAUUUUAAAACCAUAAAUUUGGAUAAGGGGAAGGCAUAUUACAGAAUAAUAUCAACCAAAUGGUAAAAGUGAGAAUAAGUUGAGGAUGUGUCUUCAUGGGACAUUCGUUAGAAAGUUCCGGCCACCCUAGAAGAUGCCAGCUUGAAAGUCCUGGAAAAUAAUAUUGGCAACAUGUUGUACAAGACCUUGAAUACCAGAAUGAAAUGAUAUGGUAUAAAUUGAUUUUUUUUUACUGGAAGAGAUAAGUCUAAAAAUUAAAAUGCUACUGUACAUUACUAAAGUAAUUUGGAGAUAAUCUUUCUUGACUAUUAACUUUGGGAUAAAUUUUUGAAAGGGUGCUUUAGGUAUUACAUAUAAGGAACUAUGUCAUCAUGAAAUUUGAGACAUAAUGCUAAUGAAAGUGGGAACAUAUUAAGUUCUUAUGGUAUAAUAAUUAUCUCAGGCUUAGCUUACAACAUUAGUCUAGAGUUUGGAGAAUUAAAAUGAUUUUUAUUGUUUGACAUGGAAAAAUAAUUCUAAAGUUAUGGGAAUAGUCAUUAGAGCCAGAUAGAUAAAUUCAUCUGAAAUAUGCCAUGUGAAAAGAGCAAUAAGAUACACUUCCUCAAGAAUUUUCAAGAUAACAUAAUAUACUUCUCACUUUAUGGUAAAAUCCCCCUUUAUUAUCUGGGUCAAUAGUUUACUAUUACAAUAUAAAUCAUAGAAAAGGAAUAUAUUUUUGAGUCCAUGUAAAACACAUUCCAGAUAGAGACUGAUCUCUAUUUUCAUUUUAUCCAGUAUUCUCAUUUCUUCAUAUUCUGAGAAGACUUGCAUUCAUGAUGUCAUUACUCCGUCAUUAUUUUCCAUUUUGUUAAAAUACUACUGCGCAACCCUGAAACACAUUCCUCAUAAUCUUAGCUAAUGGAAGAGCUUGCCACAGGUGGUAGAGCCUGGAAAAACGAGAUCUGGAAAGGGUACGACUAAUAUUUGCUGCUACUUUCAGAUUGUAAUAGCUACCAGGGGACUGUAGAAUUGGUAAUGGAUUUUUAAAAACUGAGUAAAGAGUGGUGCUCUGUCACACUUAACUGAAAUAGAUUAAAAAAUUAAUUUUAGUCAGUAGUUCUUAACUUUUUAAUGUGUUGAGAAUCUAAUGAAAGUUAUCGACUCCCCAGAAAAAUACAGAGUUGUAUAUACAGCCGAAAAUUUGCAUGUGCCUGAAGGUUUUACGAACCUCCUGAAUGUCUCAUUGAAUGCCAGGUAAAGAAUUCCUCUAUCAGUUGUUACUUUAAUGGAUAGAAUUGUAGCUAUGUAUCUUUCAAGAGCUAAGUGAGUAGUUAAUGUUAUAUACAGUGAUGGAGGAGGGAGCCCUAGUUAUCUGUAUAUCACUCUCUCAACCCCCAAAGUGAUGAGGUUGCCUAGGAAAGUGAAAGUGUACCAAACACUAGACUAUUCACAAAGGAAGUAGACCCCUUCUUAUAAAGACCCCUACUUAUAAAGUAGACCCCUUCCCCUGUUGUUUAUAUACCUCCUAUUAUAUACUCAUGUUAUAUGUUCAUAGGCCAGUUUCUCUAUGAUUAUUGGAUAUUUUUAACAUCUGAUGUUAACAUUUUAAAAUGAGCAUAUAAAUAUCAAAAAUAUGUAAAUCAAAAGCAAAUUAUUUGAGUACCUAAGAAUCAAGAGAGAUCCUGGGGAAACUGAUGGAUGUCUAGAAUAUUUUUGUAGAAAUGAGACUUACUACAGUAAAACAGGUAUAUUGUUUAUCAAACAAUUUUGUUACAAAAAGCAUCGGCUAUCACUGGACUCUAAUAUACAAUUAACCAAGCUUUGUUCAUUCAAAGAAUCAAUGCAUAAUUGUAAUUAUAAUAAAGUUUGUUUAAAAUAAGAUAAAAGUUUUAUUUUAAUUACUUUCUGUUAUCUUUUCAAGAUAAUGUCUCAUUCAAUCUUUUGUCUCUACUUAUAAAAUAUUGGCUAUCGUCUUUUCAUGGAUUCACAUUAAGCAGCCUUUCUAAUUCCAAAUUAUCUUGAAAUAACAAGUGCCUCCUAUGAGUACCUCUUCAUAUUGUUUUCUUUAUUAGUGUCCUUUCCCAUAACUGCAGAAUUUAUAUAUACAGACUAACUUUUCUCAGUUUACGGACAUGAUAUCAGUGACUAUAGCCUUCUUUCUGUGGGUACAAAAGCUCUAAAUAAUAAAUACCCAGAUGAGCUAGGGACAUUGAGAAAUAGCCUUCCUCGUUUUUUUUAACUCAUUUUUUUCCACUCACAUGACUGUAAAUAAAAUAUUUAAUAGCUCUUACUUUAAAAAAAUUAGGCAUGAGUUUCUUGAUUUGGCAUGCUCAUUUACCUUUAUGUCAGGGGAGAAGUUAGAUUUCUCAACGUUAAGAAGAAUGUAUUUUUUCUUUGUUUUGCUAGAUUGAGUCAUAUUUGAAUUUUAUUAUACUUCAAAGUGUCAUGAAAAUACUUUUUUGCGGUUCUGAUAUUGUGGAAUUUUGAUGUUUAAAUUAAUAAAUGUCAUAACUAUAAGUGUUUUAAUGUUUUUACAAUAUCCCUAGGCUGAUAUUUAGUGAUCUUAUAAUAUCUAAGAUGUAGAUGAAAACUGGAAUCAAUUAAUCAUUUGCUGUGUUAUCAGCACUAGAUCAACCAUCUGGGUUUCUUGAAAACACCUGAAGGAUUGAAUUUUGCUUCAGUAUUGAUAAUGACACGGCCCAUAUACGCUAGAUGGAAUGACAUCAUUUGCCCUUCCAGUGGCCCGCAUGUUGAUAAGUAUAAGAUGUCAACUUGAGUUAGUACUGCACUGGAAAAUGCAGAAUGUGGGUUAAUCAUCUGAAAGGAUACUUAACAGCCCUGAGACUUCACAACUGACAACUGCUCACUACACAGUCCAUGCUGAAAACAGUGAUCCAAUAUUUCCCUAUUAAUGAAAAUAAUUGUUACAUUCUUUAUUUUAGUCUCCUGCCAUCUGCCUUUCCAUGCUGUUAUGGUUUUGAUUUAUGGGAAAUAUUUAUCAAACUCUUGCAAAUUUGCUAACAGGCAUAAUUGUAAGUGAAAUCACUAAGAAACUCUGCAAAAUAUUUUAAUAUACUAGAUGGUCCCCAGACAAUCUAAGAUAAAUAGAAUACUGUAUUUUAAUAUGUAAAACAUUUUAAAGCUGCUAAUUGGUAUUGACUAGACCUAUCCCUUGAUAAUGAAAUUAAUAAGGAUUUCAGUUAAAUGUUAAGACACUGUGAUAUUUAAUACCAUGUUUAUGAAUUUUCUUCUACAUACCUGCUUUAAAAAUAAUAAAACAGGAUACCUCUGAGUUGACUAUAGAAAAUAAUAUUUUAUAUU